rnacentral:tRNA from 1 species
GGUAAAAUGGCUGAUAAAAGUGAUAAACUGUAAAUUUAUUAAUGAGGUUAAAAAUCUCUUUUACCA